UUCAGGCUUGUGGCCGGUGGUCCGCCCGAUACGGGUGUGUACUGCCGUGCCCGGCCUACGUCUGGUUUAACGUUCGUAGUGCCCUUAACCGGGUGCUACGAAAUGCCAGAAUUUUUACUCUGAAAAAAUUAGAGUGCUUAAAGCAGACCGUUUGUGCUUGAAUAAUGUUGCAUGGAAUAAUGGAAUAGGACCUCGGUUCUAUUUUGUUGGUUUUCGGAGCUUGAGGUAAUGAUUAAGAGGGACGAACGGGGGUAUUCGUAUUGCGGUGUUAGAGGUGAAAUUC
rnacentral:rRNA from 1 species